GAUGAACGCUGGCGGCGUGCCUAACACAUGCAAGUCGAGCGAUUCUCUUCGGAGAAGAGCGGCGGACGGGUGAGUAACGCGUGGGUAACCUGCCCUGUACACACGGAUAACAUACCGAAAGGUAUGCUAAUACGAGAUAAUAUGCUUUUAUCGCAUGGUAGAAGUAUCAAAGCUUUUGCGGUACAGGAUGGACCCGCGUCUGAUUAGCUAGUUGGUAAGGUAACGGCUUACCAAGGCGACGAUCAGUAGCCGACCUGAGAGGGUGAUCGGCCACAUUGGAACUGAGACACGGUCCAAACUCCUACGGGAGGCAGCAGUGGGGAAUAUUGCACAAUGGGCGAAAGCCUGAUGCAGCAACGCCGCGUGAGCGAUGAAGGCCUUCGGGUCGUAAAGCUCUUUCACCACCGACGAAGCGCAAGUGACGGUAGGUGGGGAAGAAGCACCGGCCAACUACGUGCCAGCCGCCGCUGUAACAC
rnacentral:rRNA from 1 species